CAUUAGAAAGCUGAACAGGAUAAUAGCGUUAGCCUUUUAAGCUAAAAACUGGUGAUUUCCAACCACCUCUUUUGA
rnacentral:tRNA from 1 species